rnacentral:lncRNA from 1 species
CAUCCCUGAAAACCCUCACGAGACAACACUCGUCCACUAGGGUAAUCUAGGGGUUUAACGGCUUGUUGCACGUGCUAAGUGCAAUCGUGAUUCCUACGAAAGUGAGUACUUAUCUUAAUUUUAUGCAAUUAGUUCUAAUAAAACAUCAUAGGAUCAACCAACACUUUUUGUACUCUCAUGUUAUUGUUUACUCUGAAAUUGCUAGAGACUAGCAAUAAGCUAGUUGGGGGGUGU